CUCUUCAACAUGUAUUGAUGCUGCAGCUGAGCUGCUGCCCAGCCCCUGGGGAGAAGACACCAGCAGCGUGCCCAGCCAGGGCAGGGUGGAGAGCUGCAGCUGCAGCUGCCUCCUGAGCUCUUUAUAAACACUGGCAUUCUGGCCGAGAAAGACUCGCCAACAUCCAAGAGUGGCAAAGGGGAACAGGAGACACAUCGUUGGCUUGGGAACCGCUCCCGCUCACAAGAAGUCUGCUCACAGGAGAUUUUUCUCUCAGCGUCCUCCUGUGGUUUCUAGUCUGGGGAGAACACAUCAGCACACUAACGGAAGAAAGGGGAGCCUGUGAAGACCAAGGCUGCUGCGCUGGGGGUGUGGAUUCGAGGGCUCUUCUCCAGCCUGACAGCUGGGACCCUCAUUUUGUCAGCCCUGUGGAGUUCCUACUAGAGUGCCAUGCAAGGCAGUGGGGGUUUGGAAGACGGAAGUCCUGUCACUGCCCUCAAAGGGCUUGCUGCCCAGUUGACAUAAGACAUAUUGGAAGCAUUUGAGCAGGAUAUAAUUA
rnacentral:sRNA from 1 species